UACAGUCGGAUGUCAAACAGACCGUCCACAACCACAACUGUGGGAACACAGACAGUGGAAUGUAAAGUGUCCGCCAUUUCUGUUGCUACACAUGUUGGCCCGGGGAACACUGAAAUCGGCACACGUGAGAAGCAAAGGCAUCCAGGCCACGGUGUCUUUCAAAAGUGUUGGCACUAAAACUUCCACCUACACAGAAAUCCCCUUGUCCUCUACACCAAUAAAGGGCCCAGGAUUGGGACCUAGCAAGAGACCUCGACUAGAGUUGGAGCAGGAACAAGGAGAGACUUCGAUUGAAUUUGAAGAGACUCUGGAUUCGAGUUACCACCCUGAUGAUACUGUAGAAGAAUCUGACGUAUCACUUCAGACA